CGGCAACGGCCGGGCGCGAGAGCCUCCCGUGUGAAUAUGUAUGAGCCUUCCUCGGAGUAAACAGAGCUCGCUAUUGGUUGGAGCUCUGUGACGUCACAGGCGCGCUCCGCCUCAUAAGCCGGGCGGGGAGCCCAUUCCCGGCUGUUCUGAGGCGGGCGCUGCGCCGAGUGGAGCGGCUGGGGCGGGCUCGGUGCUGCGGUGUGUGGCGGGUGUCCCUGGGUUCCUGCUGUUAUAUCCUCAGCUACUGGGCAAUGCAUCUUCCCAGAGAGACACCCAAGCACAGGCUUGUUGGGAGCUGUUCUUAAGCUGGACUUCUUGGCUGAAAUACAUAUCCCAUAAUGCUUGAUGGACAUGGACUCUUACAGCACGUUUUGUCUUUCACCCAUGGGGGAGAGUUUUCAGUGGUCCCUUGAGCUGAUGAGGUCUCUUCGUGUUUAUCACCUGCAUAUUUAACAGCUGCCUUCCUGCUUCGGUGCCAAUGCGUUUUAAGUGAAUAGUAGUCAGCUAUGAAGUGAAGAAUUACAAAGCACAAGGUAAGAAUUACAAGCUUGAUUAAUUAUGAGAAGAUGAAAGACAAGAAUCGCGUUCAAGAUUUUUCCAUCAAGGUCUGUUUGAGCAGUAGGCCUGGUUUCAUCAACAUCUACAAAGGAUUUAUCACUUUUGUAUCAGAACUUAAAAACUGAUUUGUUCCUUUUGCAGGGGGGGGGGGGGAAGCGUUCACCCUAAGUUAGGGGGAAAGUCUCAGAGUCCUACAUCAAAGAGAACUGAGAGGUUCAGGAGACAGUUUAGCAGGCAAGGGGGCAGAGACUGUAGAAGGUUCUGUGUGAUAAAAUGCCAAACACCAGAAGUUACCUAAAAGUCAAAUGAGGAAACUGGUAGGAGGAAGGAAAGUGGGAAUGACUGAGGGCAGCUGGCAUUGCAGGGUCAGCUGCAGCUCUGAUCAGGCCUUGUUGUAAGUACUUUGAGAUAAAGUCCUAGGACUUGGCUGCAACAAAGCAUGAGUGCGAUGUUACUCCAAGGGGAAAACAGUGAGCUAUUUUCCUAGGGAAGUCAGAAAGGAGACUUUAGAUCACAAGUUUUGUGCUUUGGUAAAUGAGUAGUUGGUGAUUAAGGCUUCCUGUUUUCAUAUUAAUUUCUGUGUUCUGCAAAGGGUAUUUUUAAAAGUCAUUUGAUUCAACAUCGGUGAGGGGUUGAAGUACAGCUCCUUAAAUAGCCAGCAAUACUUUCUCUGUAAGUUCCUGGCUGAGGAACAAGGCUUUACCUAGUGCUUAUUAAUGACGCUGAUAAACUGGACUGCUUCAUUGCUGCUAAUGAAGACCUGGCAGAAGGGUUAAAUCCAGAUGUAAAGUAAGCCUCUGGGAAGAAACUGGAUGAGUUUAUUACAUGGUAGAUGAGAUCAAGACAGGGUUUGUUUGUUUCUUGUUCAACAUUUUUUAAAAUACCGUGUUCCUGGUGUUUUAUCUAGCUUGUUUCCAUAAACUAUUCAAAAUGGGGGGGGAGGCCAUGGUUGUUCUUUCACUUUCGAAUACAAUGCUAAUGUGUUCAGAGAGCUUUUCAGUGAAGGGAAAAGAACUUUAGAUAAAACCCAAAAUCUAAAGAUUGUCUUACACAUAAUUCAUUUUCUGACUUAAGGAACUCAGACUUCAGUGAAAAAAACACUGUCAACAUAAAUGAUGGAAUGAGGUUUUUUGUUCCCAGGAGUUGGGUGUAUUGAGGAUUUUUUGGAUAUGAUUGAGGAUCUGGAAUCAUAGCAAGACAUUACAAUGAAUGUUUUUAGCUCAGUGUACUGAAUCUGAAAGUUAAUGAGUGUACUGCUCUUUUGAAAUGGUAAUAAUGAAUUUGUGUAAAGUGCAAUAGUUGGAGGAUCUUGACUCCAUUCUAGCAAAAGCUGACACUUUGAGAAUUUUUUUUUAAAGGCAGUGAUCUUAUUAAUACUCUUGUAUCAAUCUCUAUGUGAAUCUAUAUUUUGAAUCCAUGUCACCAACAAUGAAGUAGAAUGAGACAAGUCAGAUGUUUAGCUGAGAGUGUCAAUAGGAUGAAAAUAAGGACUUGGAGAGGGGCAUUAUGUUUGUAUGACUGAAAAAGAAUAGAAGGCAAGAUGAUUUGCAAACAGAGGGUGAAAACUGGAUAGGUCACAUCAAUACCUGGAGGUGUUUGUUAGGGAGAAUAUAAGCCCUAAGUGCUGAAAAUUGAAUUUUAGAAUUGGGACCAUCCAGAUACUUACAAGAGAGAAAAGGAAGCAGUUAAUUGUAUUGUAUGUAGCCCUUGUGAGAGCUGUGAAGAACACUUUGCAUGACUUAGGCUGUCAGUUUUCAGGACAAGUGUAUUCAAACCAAAUCACAUGUACAGAACAGCCACUGAGAUUAUCUGGAAAAUGGAUGGCUUAUCAUAUCAGAGAACACUUAAAAGAUUUGGUUUGUUUGGGCUGGGUAAAUAAAGGCUAAAACAAGAUAUGAUUGCCUAUAAAGACACCAAGGGAGUAAACUACAGGGACCAGAAAAGUAAAAUACUGCAUAAGCUGAAGGUCAAUAUUAGCAGUGUUACCAGAGGGCAUGAAUAAAUUCAGGUUGAGAAAAAGUGAUAGUCCAUGAUGUGGUUUUCUGCAGCACCUGGGGUUUGGAAUGGAAGGUUGAAAGUACUGUGUGCACCCUGUGCUCUGAUGAGUCUCAAAUUGAGAAGCUGGGUAGGUUAUGCUGUCUUUUGAAAGAUGCGGAUCCAUCAUCCAAUUCUGUUUUAGCCCAUAUCUAAAGCACAGGCUUCUGUCCUUAGCUUACUUUAUGAACAGUAUGUAAACAACAUUCCAUGGAUUGGAAAUGAGUUUCCUCAUGAAAAUUUUCAAAGAUUUGAGAAAUUUACUCACUCCCUAGUAGAAUGAAGCAGAACCUCUGCAGAUUUUCUUUGAAAGUAAUAAGGAAGAGCAACUCAUUUAGAAAAGGUGAAUAUGUGACUCCAUAGAUUUUUGCACAGCUGGAGUAAUAAAACCAGGGAGCUUAGUAAUGGUGUGGUGAAUUACAGCUCCUCACUGUUGUUUGUUGGAAGAGUCUGGAUGCAAGUGGAGAGGAGGGAUCACAGCUGCACCUGUUGAUUUCUGUGGUGUGUUGGCCUGUAAUGUAAGCAGCCUAAUCUGGACAACUGAGCAAAUCCAACCAUUUUAGGUGUGCAGCAAGAUUACAGGGGUGUUUUCAGGACACUAACAGUUGCCUAAGGAGUCAGCCACCUUGCUGCUCUCAUUUGAUAAAUGUGGCUUAAUAAUUAAUUUCUAACUGGAGGAGAUAUUACUUCUCUAGCUUGUUGAAGCAUGGACAAGGAAUUUGCUGACUCAGGUGUACAUUAGGGAGCUAAGCUGCUCAGCUUCCUUAUUGCUCAUGAAUCAGUUGAGGAAGUAUUGCAAGGAGGCUUUGUUUUGUUGUUUUUUGGGUUUUUUUGUUUCUUUUCUUUUUUUCAAGAGAUAAUGCAUUUUCAGUUUUGGUACGUAGCUCUACAGUAUAGUUUUUGUUUCCUGGGUCGUACCCUGGACGUUAUGCAUACGACACAAAGCUCAGAGCCUCAAUUUUGAAGCAUAGCAACCAUAGCUAAAAUGAAAACUGUUAGAUUAGCUGAAGCUACAAACGGAGGAUGUUGAGCAUUCUUAAUAAGUUGUUUAUCCUAAUGAGGCAAAUAUUUUUUUUCAAAUUUAAUUUUAAAUAUAUGAAGCCUUUCUUAUUUUCUGUGGGCUAUGGAAAUGGCUUGUCAUGUUCCAGAUUCUUCUGAUGGUCUCUUAAUUUACUUCCAGACAUGGGGUGGGUGGGGGCAGGAAACAAAGAAACAAGGUUUGUUGUUUAUGGUUUUGCUUUUUGUUUGUUUGUUUAAUUUAAAAAGGCUGAUAGGUUGUCAGAUUGUAGUUGAUUUCCUGCCCCUGAACAACCUGUGGGAAUUACUCCUUUGCCUAGGAAAACUCACAAGAAAUUGAGAGAACCUGCUUACAGUGUAACCAGUGCCAGUAUAAAAGAUGUUUAACAGUGUGCACAAAAAAAAAAAGAAAAUAAAAGAAACAAAAAAGAAACUUUCAAGUUGACCUAUUUUAUUCAAGACUUCAUGGGAUACUCAUUUACUUGACCUUUGAGAACAUCUGAGUGAGAUUAUGAUGAGUAAUUAGUGGUAGGUCUGGAACAGGGCAUCAGGUCAAACAGAUGAAACCCCCACUUGUUCUGGAGUUUAUAUAGCACACAUAGGCUCAUGUAAAUUCUGGGGAUACAACACAGUCCCAAACACAAAGUCCCAACUACUCCUCCUUUCUCAGAGAUGUUAUUUCCUCUUCUAUGGAACACAAACUUACUUUUUCUUUAACCUCUUGCUUUCUAUUGAAACACAAUCCAAUCAAAUAACUUAUAUUCCCCUAGUUCUAUGAGACUACUCUGGAAAAUCUUUUGCACGUUUUUGUAAAUUUAGACACAAUGAACCUCAAGUAGUUGCAUUCAUACCAUACUAUAAAGUCUCAGCCUUGGUGAAAUUGUGGCUUGCAUGAAUAUGGUCUUACCAGCCCUGUGAAAACAGCAGUGUUUUUUGUGAUGUGAUACCAGUGAGAUCUGAUGGAGGGGGUUUUGACAAAUUUCAAGUCUGGAUUUGGAAUUAGGUUGUUUUAACUGUGGUAGAAUGAGCUAUAUUUAGUUUUUAUCUGUGACAUAAAGUGAUGAGGAAAUUGCUUUGAUUGUCUUGAUUUCAUGAUAAAAUGCAUGUUUAACAGGAUGUAUUUCUCCCCAUAAAUGAAAUAGGAAUUCUGUAUAACUCAACAUGAUUGGUGACCUACAUUUCAAACCCUCUAUUUUUAAUAAUACUAUGAAAUUGUACAUCUCUCUUUUUAAAAAUCAUAUUUUUCAAUUUCCAUCUCUCAAAAGACAAGAAUUUCUGACUAAGAAUAUGCUCUUUAUUUUUCCCCACAACAUUCUUCCAGUUUUAUUUGAAUCUUGUCUUAAUUUUAGUUUGCCACGUGAGCAAAGCAGCACUUUAUCACUGUUCACAAAGCCAAGUCUGUGUGUGAUUAUGUAACACACAUGUGCUCCAAGGGUCUCCAAAUAGAAUUCAAAUGUUCCUAAAUCCAGCUGUGUAGAACAGGACUGACUUUGUUUCCUGUUGUCCUUUAAGCUCUGAGGAUAUUUUGAUAGAAGCUUCAUUCCUUGUGUGUUGCUGUGUUGUACCCAGACUAGAACACAGGGUUGAAGCACUGAGAUAUUUAGCCAUGUUUUUAAAUGAAAUGGAGUCUGAUGGGAGAUUUGCUGUGUAACUUGAAUUCAUGUGUUUAGAGGAAAAGUUACUGUCCAUUAUGCAACAGUUAUUUCCAGAAUAGCAGGUUAAUGGUGAAAUGGAUCUAAGGUUAUGAUACCUACUGCUUUCUUAAGGUAAACAUACACUUAAUUUAAGAAUGUAUUAUUCUCAGAGCUCAAUAAGUAACAAGGAUUUAUCACGGUAAAAACACUGCUUGUCGUUUAAACAACAACAAACCCCUCUAGGUCAUAAUCCAACUCCCCUGUGAUUAUCAGGCUGAGACCUUACAGAAGAACUACUGAUGGAACCCUCACAAAGAGUAUGUCCAAGCCACCUUCGAAAUAUAUGUAUGAAAAGAAGUUCAAAAUACACUAGUGAGCAUGAUGAGAAAAAAGGUACAUGGCAUUUACAGGAAACAGUCCUUCCAUACUAUAUAAGAGAGUUACUAAAACCAGUUGCGGCGAUAUAUAUUUAAAUUGCUGAGGGGGCAGAGGGUGGGAAUCCUGAUGUCUGAACAUACGUUCAAUGUUAGAAGUGAGACUUUCAGUUUCACCUAAUUUAUAUUUAGUGUGAACAGAUGGGAAUUUUUUUCCUAAUUGUGUGAUUCGCCUUUAGGAAUGCCAUCCUAAAGUGAGUCCGAGACACUGUCUUCUGUGACUUAGGUAUUAGAAAGGACUGGAAAUCUGAGGAUAUGCUGAUACUUUUCCUUCAAGAUUUUCAUAGAACAGCAAAUAAAUUGUACUAUGCAUGUCCAACUUUCUUCUAUAAACGUAAUGAACACCUAUAGAAAAUGAAUCAUGAAAACUGCUGGAUUGCCAGUGAAUGAAGAUACACUUGGCUUUUUCUGUUUCUUUUGCUAGACAGCAUAUAGAGGAACUAACAAAGGGUUCUUGAUACAUCAUGGCAAACAUUAACAUAUACUCAUUGAAAACUGUUCUCUUGCAUUUUUUGCAUUCUCCUGCUUGUACUCAUUAGUGAGAUUUUCUAAAAGGAGGAACUGUGUUUUCAAAAUCAGAUUAUAAAUGUAUCCUGAAAACCUUUGUGCAUGAAGAAUUUUUCAGCAGUGCCAAUUGCUGAUGUCUUUUCAGAAACAUCCUUGAUUCUGCUUGUGACAUCAGGAUGGCUGGCUGUAAAAGUUAUUCUUUCAAUCUCAGCCUAGUUCUGCAAAAAAAUUAUUAGAAAAAUAACUUAGAAAUAUAGAUUUUUUUUCCUCAUUUUUGUCACUGCUUAGAAGAAACAAAAUUAUUGCUUAAGCAGUAUGUUGCUCAUACAUGUUUAAACAACACUGGUGUAUAAUGCUGCAAAGGGGCAUGUACCAUUCUGUCAAUAAUAUGCAGCAGUCUGUAAAAAAACAAACAACAAACAAAACCCCAGCUGAACAGAAGACAGCCUUGUAUUUCACCAGGUCACAUAAACAUAUCCACUAUUUUGACUACAGUUUCUGAGAACUUCAACAUUUGGAAUUUGGAUUGCUAUCUCAACAGAGACUUGACUCAAUUGACCUUAAUUGUCUUUGACCAGGCAUCAAACAGUGGCUAUACCGAGUGACUUCUCACACUGAAUUGGAGGUGAUGCAUGUGUGGGAAUGAGAUACUUGAGUUUGAAUGAAACUGAGCAAUUCUCAAACAAUGUGACCCUUCCAGUUCCUCAGACUCUAUGUGGAAUCUAAUGCAUACUAAAUGUAAUCAGCUAUAGUUCAGUGUUGGCUAAUCUUCAACUGAAAUCAAUAAAUCAGUCUGGACAGGGAGAGAUUAGGGAAGUCAGAAAAAAGUACUGUGAUGUUUGAUUUUGUAGUCUUUUUGAGAGCUCAGAUAAUGGAGACAUCAAUUAAAACAGGAUAAACAUCAAGCUGCUUCCAGUGCAAUAACCUUUUCCUUUCUUCAAUGGGACUGUGAAUUUAGCUUUACAUAAAGCUGCCAAAUCAUUUGUUUAUAUCCAGUGUAUCCCAGAUGGGGCCAGUGAAACCUCCAGUGUUCAAAGUUGUUUUGUAGAAAGCGGAAUGUAGAUUUUGAGUGAAAACCUCAAUGUUCAAGCCUGCUUUACAGAAAGCAGUGUUUUUUUUCCAUCUCCUUCACUUUCCAUGGUUCAUUCCAAUUAUAUCAGCAUGACUUCAACAUUCAGAAUGAAAAUGGGUUGUGAUGUGUGAGGGAAAAACUUCCAUUUGUAUGAAACUGUGCAAACCUCAAGAAAUGUGUCAUUUCCAGUUCCUCAGACUCUAAAUGGAACCUAAGCAUCCUAAUCUCCUAUGGAACCUAGGCUUGCUAUCUCCUAAGUGUCAACUGAUAAUUUCUUCUGUGGGGUGAAACUACAAUAUUUAUCCAUCGACCUUUAUCGUUGAGGCUGUUUCAUGUCAAUAUACUUUUUUCCCUCCUCUGCCUUGUAAUUCAAUAGACUUGUUAAGUACCACAUCGUCACCUUUUUCAGAUGUGGUUUUGUGGUGUGUAACUUCUUCCAGGACAAAGGGGAUAUUUUUUUUCCCAGCCUUGUUUUAUAGGCCCCAGAUGAUGAUGCCUCCAGUAGUCAGAGGUACCAUCACUGAGGCUCUUGUUUAACAGAUAAAGUAUAUGCUAAAUCAGAACAUCGGUUGAGAAGUGAUUUGGCAGUGAGUUUGUCCUCAAAACUAGAGAGUAGGUUGGCUCUUCUGGUUCUAAGGGCCUGUAGUCUUGGGCUGGUAGAUGAGAGAGAAUUACAUGAAGAGCUUUAUGUGCUUGUGCUCUGCUCCACAACAGAUGUGAUCAUUUGGCUAUAGCUCAGAAAAUUCACAGGCAUCUUAUUAGAAAAGUGAGCCAAAACGCAACACUCUCUGAUAGUUGAUGGUGAUUUCUUACAUUGUUUUUUUUUUUUCAUACUCCACGAUUAUUCUGCAAGAAGGCAUAGCCAGCUGUGAGACAGAUGGAGCCACAUAUGUUUCCACAACCAAGAGAGAGGUUUGUGUACAGAGCUACAGUCAGGAAUAAGGCUGAGUGAAUGAUACCAAAGGCUAUUCAUACAGAGAUGUCUGGAUUUAUACAUAAAUUCACUUGGAUUGUAUGGAUGGUUGGUUGUUUUUGUGUUAACUUUCUGAUUAUAAUAGUGAUUUUCUUGCAAUUAAGUUUAUAAAGCUGUAAAUAUUGAAGAAGUACUUGGAGAUUAUUCCUGUCAGCAGUCUGAAUUCAAGAAUAUUGUAUGACUUGUGCGUGUGGUCUCUUUCCCAAACUGGAGGUUGCUGUUCCACCUUCCUCCUUCUCCCCAUAACCAACAGUACCUUGCUGCCAUCACCACCUAGAAAAGUCUAGUGCGGGAAGAGAUGCCAUGUUCUUUUCCUCCCUCACUUGCUGUAGCACUGAAAAGCUCUGCAAAAUGAGAUUAGAUCUACUGCUGUGCUGAGCCUUCAGGAUCAGCUGAAUAUGAGGAUGGUUUCAUUGUUGAUUUGUUGGGGCCUUCUUUUCUCCCUUACAUCAGUCAGAGCACAGAAGAGCAGCAGAGGUGGGAAGGUAGAGAAGAGUCACCAGCCAGGUUCCUGCUUGCUUGCUGUAGCUUCAAGUAGAGGGAAGAAACUUUAUUCAGCAGUACUGUGAUUCCAGUCAGCAGUACCCUUGGGCACUGGGCAGAGUGACAGGCAGGCCAAUCAGGGAACACCCAACUAUACU